GUAGAUACAGGAAGCCGCUGCUAAGGUGGCCUCAGAGAGGAACCGGUGUGGUGAACUCCUGGCAUGCGCAGGUGACAAGAGGUUCCGCAGGAAUGAAUGGAGUCUCUACACAUCAAAUCGUGUGUCUUGACUACUCAGGAUGUCAAGGGCAAAGGUUAACUCCUGGGGGUUUUCUUUCUGUAUUAAGAUUCUCAAGAGAACAGAACCAGUGGUGGAUGUGGAAACAAGGCUCCGAAAAUGUUAAAGAAGCCACUCCUGGUCAUUACAUCAGCUAAACGACAGGCUCUGAUUCACCUGGGCUGUGGGAUUUCCAGGAUCAAAGCAAGUGUAAGAGGGCUGAUGGUGGGCCACUGUCACCACACCCUUCAUCUUUCACUGUGUCAUCUGAGGUUCACAAAAGCCCUCAGGGUCCUAGCUGACUGGGACACCUGGAAAGGACACCCCCUGCCCCGUCCCGUUGGGCUGCCUGCAGGCUGUGCAGUACACUGGGAACUCCAGGUUCCCAGCUUUGUGAGCUGUCACACAUGCUAGGGCGGGCCGUAGUGAUGUACUGACUUUGAGUUCUGCUGCUAUCAGUAACCCUCAUCCAGAUUUCUGUACGUGACUCCAGUAAGGCCAUGUUGGAUUCUGAUAGUACCCAUCCUCUGUUCUGUUCUCCGUUCCCUCUCUGAGGUUGUUCUACAGUGCCUUGCUUCUGAUUGUGCUGUCAACCUUCUCAGUCCCUGGGUUGGACCUAGGACAACAGGCCAGCCUUUGGUUAGCAUCAGCAGCUGAGUGGAGACUCGUCUCCAAGCAUCAAGGAUGUGAAAAUGUGAUCUUGUUGGGGAUAGUGGGAGCUUGGGGGAUGGGUUCCUUUGUACUUCUCUCAAGGUCUCCUGGUCCCUCCCUGUGUGUUUGUGGGCGCCACAGACAGCCUCACAAUCAGGAUGAGUGGUAACGGGACAGUCAAACACAAUGAAGGGAAUCAUUGUCUCACGAGAGUCAGAACAUCUGUUCCUCCCACCGCACCUGGGCGAAGGCCAAAUAAUCAAAAGAAGGAAACAGGAUCUGCCAACAACGCACUUUACCUUGAGUCUUUGUGUAGAGAAUACCUUCUCCAAGUAGGCGCCUUUCAUUGGCUCAGAUUUUCCCAUCUCAGUUGUCAUUAUAACUGAAAGCUAUUGUAGCUCAUAAUUUCACAUUGUCCUUUCAAAUAGAAGCAUCGCCAAGCAGAUGUGAACAAUUAUCUUCAAUUGUGAUUUUUUUUCCAUUAAAUUUCUAAAGGAAUACCUAACCUGGGUGUUCAAACAUUGGUUAAUCCAAA
rnacentral:lncRNA from 1 species